CCUUCGGGUUGUAAAGCACUUUCAGUGGGGAGGAAGGGGAAUUUGUUAAUACCAAAUUUCAUUGACGUUACCCACAGAAGAAGCACCGGCUAACUCUGCGC
rnacentral:rRNA from 1 species